rnacentral:rRNA from 1 species
UACGUAGGGUGCAAGCGUUGUCCGGAAUUAUUGGGCGUAAAGAGCUCGUAGGCGGUUUGUCGCGUCUGCUGUGAAAACCCGAGGCUCAACCUCGGGCCUGCAGUGGGUACGGGCAGACUAGAGUGCGGUAGGGGAGAUUGGAAUUCCUGGUGUAGCGGUGGAAUGCGCAGAUAUCAGGAGGAACACCAAUGGCGAAGGCAGCUCGCUGGGACGGUACUGACGCUGAGGCGCGAAAGCGUGGGGAGCGAACAGG